rnacentral:tRNA from 1 species
GCAUCGGUGGUUCAGUGGUAGAAUGCUCGCCUGCCACACGGACGGCCCGGGUUCGAUUCCUGGCCGAUGCA